AACGCAGCGAAAUGCGAUAAGUAAUGUGAAUUGCAGAAUUCAGUGAAUCAUCGAAUCUUUGAACGCACAUUGCGCCCGCUAGUAUUCUGGCGGGCAUGCCUGUUCGAGCGUCAUUU
rnacentral:rRNA from 1 species